rnacentral:rRNA from 1 species
UACGUAGGGGGCGAGCGUUGUCCGGAUUAUUGGGCGUAAAGAGCGUGUAGGCGGCCAGGUAGGUCCGUUGUGAAAACUCGAGGCUCAACCUCGAGACGUCGGCGGAAACCCUCUGGCUAGAGUCCGGAAGAGGAGAGUGGAAUUCCUGGUGUAGCGGUGAAAUGCGCAGAUAUCAGGAAGAACACCCGUGGCGAAGGCGGCUCUCUGGGACGGUACUGACGCUGAGACGCGAAAGCGUGGGGAGCGAACAGG